rnacentral:lncRNA from 1 species
GUAGCAACAGAGCAUUUAUUUAUAGUUAGCAGAGGUGCUCCUCUGUCAACCAGUUUAAGUCUUCAGCAAUUUCUGAUAUGCUCCCCUAAAUAUACCAACCAAAAGGGAAAUCAUAACUUUUUUUUUAAAAAAAAGAGGGAAGGUGGGAGGGGAGUGGUUAAUCUUAAUUUCUUGCUGAGUUUGUUUUUCCUGAUUUUGUAGUUUUCGAGAUGAACAUAAAAGUGCUCCCAAGAAAAUGGAUAUGGGGGUCUUGCUUGAUUCUCUGUCUGGUCACGGUUUAAUGCCCAGGCGGAAGAGGUCUCACGUAUCAAAUAGAAGUCAAACAUCACGCUUCCAGUACUUGGGGAAUUUCCGCAGAACACCACCUGAUGAUGAUGAAAGUUCAGAUUAGUUGAUAUGGUAAUUUUCUAAAAUUUUCAGCGUAGAUUGCGUUUAUUUCAAGAAGUGUGUUUUUGUUGGCUUUAUCUAUUCUAUUGCAAAGCCUCUGUAUGAUUGGAUAUUUGACAAGCUAGAUCACUUUUCUGUUUCUGGACCACAAAAUCUGUUUAAAGUAAACAAAGGGGAAAAGCAUAAAUUGAGUCAAUUCUUUGAACCGACUUUGUAAUUGCUAACGCUAUCAGGAAGCACCUAUCUUGUUGGCAAUAAUUUUGUCUUGUUUUAAAUCAUGAGCAACCACUCGCUCUAGAAGGUGUGGUCAAGUUAGAUACAGUUUCAAACUCCAUCUUGAAUAUAGUUAUUUUGAUAAAGAUAACCAAAUAUAUGUAAUUGUAGGUUCCUUUAUCUUUUGAAAUGAUUAUCCUGGAUAUGUAAAUGCGUAUGAUGUCACAAUUGUCCCUUGUCAGCAUGCAGUUCUUUCAAAGAAGUUUGUUAAAAGAUUGUUGUGCUUUAUUUAUAAAAAAUGCAGUUUCUGCAUUCUUUUAUUUCUGGGUACACCUUUUAGCUGUUUUAUGAUUUUGUUUGAUUGUUAACAAUAUUGUGAAAGCUCAGUUAUUUUAGGACAUUUUCUGCUGUGUGUGUAUGUGAUUUUGUUUGGGGUUGGUUGCUAUAUUGAUGUUGAGUGAUGAAACUGUUGAUAGGUUAAUUUGAGAUGUAUUUGGAAAUUAAGAAAGUUGAAUGUAAAGAUCAAACAAGAACAAAAGAGGAACAUUGUUUGUCAUCCAUAAUAGAUGAUGUUCUAACCAAUGUGAAACACCUAAUUUUAGGUUUUCAGUUGACUUGUUAAUUUGAAAACUGCAUCAUGAAAGCAUUAAACAUGUAUUUGAUAUCCCUACUACUCUCAAAUGUUCAGAUUGCUAUUGAAGUUUAAAAUGUGCAAUGUACUCAAAUUUUGCUUAUGUUAACUGGAUUGCACAUUCAACUUACUACAAUAGUAGAAAGCAUGUGGAAUUGCCAUGUCAUCACCCCAUGAUCACCACGUCCUCGUGUGGGAUUGAAUGCUGGGACCAUCAUAAUUUGUCUAAUUCGAUUAGGUGAAUGGAUGUUUUAUUUAUAAAAACACUCGGUUGUUUUGAAAUAUAUGAACCAUACAAGCUUUUGUAACCAGAUAUAAGAGAAACUUCAAGUGAAGAUUGUAUGAAGAUGUUUCUAACAUACUGUGGAUGAUAUUGAAUCAUGGGAAGCAGGGUGUGUUCCAAGAAACACUUUAUGGUGAUUUGUUCUAGACUUGGAGUUAUUCUGAGUGAGCUUGGUUUCAAGGUUCGAGCCUUUAUCUAGGGAUUCUUUCAUGUUUAUUGAUUUAUAUUCUCCUAUUGUGAUCUGCAUGCAAUGCACAUUACUGUAACCUAGUUUCUUGCUCUUACAUUUAUUGAAGAAUUUCAGUUAAAUGUUCAUCUUCCAAUUUCUGACAUGGCUGCACUUUUUCUCGCCAGAUUGCAAGGAGUCAUGGCUACUGGCCUCGGGAGUAUUUACAGCUAGAGUGAGACUUAAAAUUGUGUGGUAGGUUUCCCAAUGUUUCAAAAUAUUCAAAUAUAUGUAGAUGUUCCAGGGAUAAUUUAACAUUAUUAAAGUAGGUAGAUAGGAGUGUAAGCUAUAUAUGCAGAUUAAAAACCACUUUUGGCGAUGAAAUGCUUCAGCUAAAAAACUCCUUAGUUAAUUAAAUUAGAGCAUUGUUCUUACCCCCGAAAAAACAGAGAAUCAUUCUUGCUUUACCUUGCUUGGUCAUUUUGAAUAUGCUGCUGUUGUCAGUUUUGGUAAUUUAGCUUACGUUCAGCUUGUUUUAGUUCAGCCGAGCUUCACUUUUCAUGCUCUUUCACAUCCUUCUCCGCUUGAAUAGAGGUACUUUAAAUUGUAAUAUAGACACCAAGUACCAUUUACUCACACACAUACGUAGAAAAAAAUGAUUAUUCAAAUUUGACUACGGCUUGAGGAGUUUAAGCUCUGCUAGAUAACGAAUGAUUCAAUGGAAGGCAAUUUAGUAAUAGGUAAUUUUUUUUUUUAGUUUUCUUAUUUCAGGUGUGUUGGAUGUGAAAUAUAUGCAUUUAAUUAUCUUUAUUUUAAUAAAUGUUAUUAUAUUCUAUAAUUAAUAUAAGUAAUUAUUAUCUUUAUAUUCUAUAAUUAAUAUAAGUAAUUAUCAAAAGAUAAGUCAAAUAUAUAAAAUAUUAAAAAAAUUAUUUGUAUAAAAAGUUUAAAAGAUUAAUAUGUUGCAACUUUAGAUAUACUUCUAAUAUCUGUCAUAAAAAUAUUUAUGAUGGUUAUGAAAAAAAUAUUUAUUUUAAUGUUACAAGUGAUUUAAUAUUUUGCUUUAGUUGAAUUAUAUUUUAAAGUAUUUUUUAACAUGUUGUUUUAAUUAAAAAUAUACUUAUAAUUAUUUUUUAGCUUAAACAAUAUAUCAAUAUUCAAAGAAAUUUUUAUUUAAGAUUUUUUUAUUUUUUUAAUAUUGCAAAAAUAUAUCGAAAGUUUGUACCAAAAAAUUAUAUCUAAAGAAAUUCAUAUGUUUUCAUUGAUAUUAUUAAAUAAUUACAAUUAUAAUAUAUAACAUUGUAUAUAGUGAAAAACAAGCGCGAGUACAAAGGGAUCCAUUAAAAAUUGAAAUAAAUGACUGACAAAUUAAGUUGAUAAUACUUUCUGAAAAAGAAAAUGACAUUGAAAUUUUGUUAUUUUAAAAUUUAUUGAAUUAUAUUUAUUUUAUUUUUAUGUUCAAUAUAUUUAAUGAUGUUAUGUACUUAACUUUUAAUAAUUAAUAACAUAUAUAAAAAACAUGUUAAAAAUAGAUGUACAAUUUAUACGAUAAAAAUAUAAUUAUCAUUUCGUCAGUUACUACUUUUGAUAGCAGAGCUAGUAAAAAACUAUUAAUUUUUAAAUUUAUUGUCAAAGCAUUAUCAUUUAAUUAAAACUAAAAAAAAUAUUUACACGAGAAUAAUAAGUUAUUCUAAUGUUAGUUUAGUAAUAUAAUGAGUAUUAUAGGAUUCUCUUUAAACUCUUAUUUUUAUGUUUACGUUUUAUGCUUUAUAUUGGGUUAAUUAUUUGUUUAUGUCAAAUUAUAAAACAAAAAUUUGAGGGUUAAAUAUGCUCUAAUUCUCUAUAGACUUUGCACAUUUAAAAUUUAGUCUCUACUUUUAAUUUUAAAAAUUUAGUUACUUUACUUUUCAUAUUUAAUAAUUUAGGUCUAGUUGUUACCAUCAUUAAAACCAUUUUUUUUUAAAUUUACUAGAAUGAUUGUAGGAUCAAAUUUUUAAACAAACCCAAACCUAGGCCUAAACAAAUUAACCACUAAAACAAAACCUAGCCCAAUACAAACACAAACCCACUAAACAAGCCCAAAACCAAUAAAGCAAAAAUGGGAAAUCCUAACUUGAGGAAUAGCAGCCGCAAGCAGUUCCCAGCAGCCGGAUCUUGCGCACCAUGUCGACACUCACGUCCAACACGCCUCGUGCCCCCGACUCCCUCGCACCCACGGCUCCCACGUCAGCCUUGCCUGCAGCAAAAAACAAUUAUAAAACAAGGCUAUAAAGCCUAAAAUAAACAAUAUAUUUGGAAACGGUUUUUUUCCCUAGAGACAGAGAACAAGCAAUAGCAAUCAAAGUGAGAUUCAAAGUUUAAGAGGUUACUUUUCAUUCUUUUACCAGACUUUUUUUUUCCCUUUUUAUUUUUUUUUCUUCUUUCAUAUUUUGAUAAAUCGAUUUUGAAUAAAACCAAAAGAAGAAGGCUUACUCGAUUUUGCUCCGUGAAGCGCCGAUAGAGGCAGAGGUGCAUGGCGCCGAUGACCCUCAGAUACGGAGCUAAACUUGGUUAAAUCUUUAGCAAGGCAAAAGGGGGUGGUUUUUUUUUUAAAUUUAAAGAUGCUAGAUGUAACUCUCUUGCAAGUUUUUACUUUAUAAGUUUAUAAAGUAGCACUGUUUGGUGCCUUGAUUUUUUGGGGAUUAUUUUGCAAUUGAUCCCUCCCUGUUACUCUAGCUUUUAAUUCGGACCCUUUUGAACUUUGGUUAAUUAUGAUUUGGCCCCAAAACUUAGAUUUUAUCGCAUUUUCGUCCUAUACCAAAACACUGCGCUUUGAAGGAUAAGAAAAUUUGCUUUCCUGGUCCUCCCUCUUAGCCCGUACGUUCAUUUUAGCCCAUGUGGCUUUUGUUUUCUAAAGUUCGCCCCGAAACUCCUGUUUCACUGCAAUUUAACCUUUUUUCCUUGCUCUUUUGUCAUUUUACCGCUGACUUAAUUAAUUUGAGCCUUAUUUUCAUUUUUUUUCUGUUAAUUUAAUUUGUUUGAGUUAUGUUUUACAUUAUUAUAUCAUUUUAUAUUAUAUGCUUAUUAUAGGUUUUUUUAGCAAAGUUAAUUAUUUUAUGUAUAAAUUUUAAUCAUAUUUAUAUAUUAUUUGUUAUAUUUUUUUUACUAAUAAGCAUUUUUAUACUAUUUAGUUUUUUUUAGGCUCAUAAUUUUAAAUAUAGUUUAUUAUACUUCUUAUUUUCUUCAUUAUUUUUACUAUUUACUACCAUUUUUUUGUCACUUAUAACUUAUAUAUAUACAUUUUUUCCCUAAAAGUUUUUUUUCCUUCAAAUAUAUUCUUUAAUGGACUUAUCAUAUUGUUUUUUUAUAUACACCAUUUUUUUAUCAGUUAUUUUAUACUAAAUUAUUAUUAUUUAUUACUCCUUACUAUAUAUUAUUAUUGAUUUCAUAUUGCUUGCUGUCCAUAUUCUUUAUAUAUAUAUGUAUUAUAUUUUAUUCAUACAUUUGUUUCUUUUAAAUCCCAUUUCAAAGUAUACCUCGGUCUUUAAAAUAUUUUCUUAUGUUAUUUUGCGUAUAUAUUCAAUUUAAAUUAUGCCUUUUACUUUAUAUGCAUAUCUUCUGAUCCUGUUAUGAUUUAGUCGUAUUAUAUUAUUGCAUUAGAUUAUUGUUAUAUAUUUCACAAUGGCAUACCUGUUUCCUUGUAUGGUAUAACAACUCAAAUUUAAACUCACUUAAGCCAGUUCUUAGUUUUUUCAUUUUUUCAAAAAUAAAUUAAAUAAAUACAUUUUUAAUUGACUUUAGAUCGUUUUCAAAAGUCUUAUAAAACAAGGCAAUGUUUCGCGUUUGGAAGUCCAAAAGAGUCGUGCCCUAACGUGCUGGGUUGUGGUUUUUUUCGGUGAUCUAAAUGUCUAAAUAUCCUUCUAGUCUCAGGUUUCAGAAAAUUAAGGGACUAUUUGGGUCUUGAGGGUUAAAAUGUUGUAUCCUAACGUGUUGGGUGUGACAUUUUGUCCUUUUGGAACAAAUAAGCCUUAAUAUCCCAAAACGAACCGUUCAAAUAUUUUCUAAAAGAAUUAUAUUUUAAAAUCUCUUAAAAUUUUCAACAAUAAGGACAUUAUUAAUCAAUUUGGUACCGAUUUUGGGUGUUACGAGAGUGCUAAUCCUUCCUCGUACGUAAUUGAUUCCCGAACCUGUUUUCUUAACAUUCUUAGACCAAAAUGCUUUAUAAGGUGGCCCAAUUACACCUCAAAAAGAAUUGGUGGCGACUCCAUCCAUGUUUUUAAAGUCGAUCAACGUUUUAAAAUUAAAAAUGGUUUCGACAGUUUGGCGACUCCACUGGGGACUUAAAGAGAGUCAAGCCGUAAAAUUGAUUAAUUUCUGUCCUUUUGUCGAAAAUGGAAAUUGUGUUUUGAAAUUAUGUUUUCUUCCGUCACAUUUGUUAGUAUCAUUUUUAUUUUCUCUUAUGUUAUUCCUGCAUCAUACUGCAUGUCCGUUGUCGCACCCUUAAGUGGGAGUGAGAAGCUAUGCCUUCGUGAGGUUUUCACCUCUGCAUGGGCUAGUGGGUUGCUUCCGGGAUACAUCCGUACCUAUGGUUUCGUGAGGUUUUCACCUCCGCAUGGCCAUAGGGAAAUGUAUCCCCCUGAACUGAACUCGAUCCAUAUGAGCCUAUAAUGGGUGAGGAUCAAGGAAUCUGCUGGUUCAGGUACCCUUUCCUUAGAACUGAACCGCAUAUAGUAACCCUUAGGGACCUACCCUAAGUAGAGCCAUGCCAAAUUCUAGUGAUUACCCAAAUAGGUUUUUGAUUAUUUCUUGCUUGCUUUGAUUUUUAUUAUUUGAUACUAACUUAUUGUGUUUUAUUUUUGCCAUGAUUGCAUGUCAUUUCAUAUUUAGGAAGGUGUCAAUACCUGUUCGAUUACUAAGUUAGAGAGCUUGUCAUGGAGAGUGGACUUCUUGAUAAAGUGGGGGAUAAUGUGGUUGUCCGUGCAUGGUCAGAGAAUGCUCAGCUCGAGAAAGGGGAUAGCUUGGCCGAGGGGUACGUGUCGAAAUUGUGGGACUUCACCCGUAUUAGUGUGACACAGAAUGAGCUCCAAGAAUUGAGGGAUAUAUGGGCCCGCUGGAAUGAUGAGACCAAGAAAUUGUUCUACUACAACUACGGUGAUCUGCCUUACCUGCUUGACAUUAAGGUAGACAAGUACUUGUUUCGAGCUAUGACUCAGUUCUGGAACCCCGCAUAUAGUUGUUUCACCUUCGGGAAAGUGGACUUGGUGCAACCGUGGAGGAGUAUUCAGCCCUGUUACGUUGUCCAAGGUUUCAAACGGAUAGAGUGUAUGUUAAGGUCCCCAAUGUACCGAGUUUUGUAAAGAAGCUAAUGAACGUCAUUGGGAUGAGUGAGCAGUGGGUUACAGCCUGGAUUCAACAAAAAGGUGAGGGGAAAUGCAUUCCUUGGGUGAACUUGAGAGACUUGAUCCUGGCACAUCCAGAUGCAAAGAAGAAGGUUGACGUUUUCGCCUUGAGUAUUUAUGGGUUAGUGAUCUUUCCCAAAGCAUUACGACAUAUCAACGAAGCAGUCAUUGAUUUAUUGGAUAGGCUUACCAAACAGGCUACACCGAUACCAGCAAUUCUAGCAGAGACAUUCAGAUCUUUAAAUGCAUGUCGAAGGGCAGGUGAGGGAAGAUUCGUGGGAUGCACGCAAUUAUUAUUGGUUUGGUUCUAUGGCCACUUCUGGAAAGUUCACAGAAUGCCGAAUCGAGUUUUUUUUGAAAAUUAUUCCCCUUUGAAGGAGAUAGCAGCUACGCCCAUGAGGGAUGACAUAUCAGAAGAAAGGUGGAUGACAAUUCUCCAAAAUCUCCAAGAAAAAGAUGUGGAAUGGAAGGCCCCUUGGAUGGUUCCCGAUGAAGUCCUCUACCGGUGCGGAAAUUUUGACUGGGUACCUCUGCUUGGAGUUUGGGGAGUUGUUGGGUAUGCCCCUUUGCUGGUGUUAAGGCAGUUUGAGUUAGAGCAGUUUGUACCUGCGACACAUGGGUUAGCUCAUAGUGAAUUUUUGUAUAAAGGGGAUAAUUAUAAGAAGAGAGUUCGAGAAAUCGCCGAUGCCUGGAAACAGACACACCGAAUGAAGAAGUUGACUAGAUGCCCAAUGACGACUCCUGAGUACAGUAGGUGGUUGAGUAAGAAGAUCAAUGAUAAUAUUCCGAGGCCAAGUCUAGAAGGCGUCCAAUCGAUGGAAGAACACUUACGAGUAAUUCCUUCCGAGCUGGAAAUUAUAAAACAAGACCUCAAAAGGAGAAAUUCAGAGUUAGGAAAGAAGAUAGAGCAGUUGGAGGAAGAGAAGAUGCAUCUAAGGUUAGAUAUUGACGUUCAGAAACUCGAGGCUGAGAAACUGCGAAAGGGGAAAAGAAAAGCUGAGGAGGACUUGGACGCUUUGAAGACUGAUUACCGGCAGCUACAUAAGUCAAUGAGAAAUGCUGGACUGGGAAAGAUAUCAGAGCAAUGGCGACAAGAGGUCCAAGAGGAAAGGUCUAAAGCCGAACAAUGGGAAAAAAGAUUUCAUGAUACUUGUGCACGAGAGAGCGUUUUAAAAAAGAGUUUGGUUGAAAGCCAGAAUGAAAAAGAAAUGUUAAGAGCUCGAGUAGAGGAGUUAGGGAUGGCGCUUCAUCAAUCUCGUAGUCGCAACUCUGCAGUAGAGCUGAAGGCAAGCUUAAACAGGAUCGAGGAUUUGAGAGGGAAGAUAGAAGAACUUGAGACCGAACUUCAGAACCGUGAACUUCAAAUUCAACUUCUUGAGUCAGAUAAUGAGCAUUGGAAAGAGCUGCUACAUAGAUCUCAGAACCAGGUCAGGGACAGAGAUUGCAUCAUGGGUGAGGCCGUGGCUCAGAUUCGAGAGGUAGCGGAGCAUUUGCAAACUCUAGCAGUUCAAGCUGACGUGUUAAGUAUAAAGUAUGAAUUAGAGUCAGAUCGAGGUCGAGAGCUAGCUGGGCUUCUCGAGAGAGUUAAAACUUUAGGCAUAAGGGCUAGGCCAUAUAUAUAACCCGUUUUAUGUAAAGUUUUCUGUUUUCUAAUAAAGUUAUUUUAAAAGAAAUUGAAUCAGAAUUGACGCCUUCUUAGUUUUGCAUUCAUUUCAUACAUUUACAUCACAUCGCAUCAUAUGUAUUAAGUUACACGAAAGAACCCUAUUAAUUAGUGAUAAUUUAUCUAGUUACCCUAGAACAUCGCUACUAUACACGGAGGAAAAUAAGGGAUAUGGAUCAGAGGUUAGAGAAAUUAGAACAAAUGCAGGAGCAACUGCAACCUCAGAUACAAGAACAGCUGGCUAGGAUCCAGCAGGAGAUGAAGGAUCAAAUGCUAGAGUCCUAGAAAAACAUGCUGGAGUCACAGAACAACAUGAUGAGCCAGCUAACACAGCUGUUAAAGGGGGGUCUGACAAAGGAAAAGGCCCUAUGAGUGAUAGUGGGGACGACAAUGAAGACUCCACAUAUCCUCCUAGAUUAGCCCCAGCAAGUGCCCAACCACCCAAGGUGUCUGUUAAUAUUAGACCUCAGUAUCAAUUUGGUACUUCAGCGCUAGGAAAUCUCCCAACAAGCUCAAGUUCUAAUCCGGGCGAUAAUUUGGCAAAACCAACUGUCCCCGACCUCGAAGAUGUUGAAGAAAAGGAAAAAGCAAGGGCUGAGCUCCCAAAACAGUUCGAAGACCGUUGCAAGUGGUUAGAGGAGAGGUUCAAGGCAUUAGAAGGUAUAGAUUAUUAUUGCGGGGUUGAUGCUAAGGAAUUGAGUUUGGUACCGGACUUAGUACUCCCUCCAAAAUUCAAGAUGCCGAAAUUUGAAAGGUAUAAUGGAACCAGCUGCCCGGAGGCUUACAUUACAAUAUUCUGCUGGAGAAUGACGGGGUAUGUCAACAAUGAUCAGCUGUUGAUUCACUGUUUUCAGGAUAGUUUGAUUGGGGCUGCGGUGAAAUGGUACAAUCAGUUAAGUUGUACCCAAAUCAAAUCGUGGAAAGACUUAGCUCAGGCCUUCAUGAAGCGAUAUGGCCAUGUAACAGAUAUCGUACCUGACAGGAUCACGUUACAAAACAUGGAGAAGAAACCGGGUGAAAGUUUUAGGAAGUACGCCCAGAGGUGGAGGGAAGUUGCCACACAAGUUCAACCACCACUGCUGGAAAAAGAAACGACCAUUCUAUUUGUCAAUACAUUGAAGGCACCUUUCAUCAAUCAUAUGCUGGAAAGCACAAUUAAAAGUUUCGCAGACAUAGUGAUGUCAGGCAAAAUGAUAGAAAAUGCGAUAAGAUGUGGGGAGAUAGAAACGGGGGAAAGCACAAGAAGGUCAGCCCCAAAGAAAAGAGAAAAUGAGGUAGGUAAUGUGAGCUCAGGGUAUUCAAAACCUGUCACGGACGAUAGUCACAGGCCAACAGGCCGCACCAAGGCGAGAGCCUAAUACAAGGUAGAAUACAGAGAGGUUCCAGUUCACUCCCAUACCAGUGACAUAUAGGGAGCUCUACAAAAAGUUAUUUGAUGCACACGUAGUGGCCCCUUUCCACUUAGAAUUGUUACAACCCCCAUACCCUAAAUGGUAUGAUGCAAAUGCUCAGUACCCUAAAUGGUAUGAUGCAAAUGCUCAGUGCGAAUACCACGUAGGGAUUACGGGGCACUCGAUAGAAAACUGUACCUCGUUCAAAAGGUGUGUAGAAAGGCUUAUCAAAGCAGGUGUUGUAAAAUUCGAUGAUACACCUGGUACGGGAAAUCCGUUGCCUAGUCAUACUGAUAAAGGGGUAAACACGAUAAUUGAGAAUAUGGGGAGGAAAGUCAAGCUGAAUAUCGCUGAGGUGAGAACCCUAUUAAAGCUAGUUUGCAAGGAAAUACAGAAGAGAGGUUUAGUCCCGCAGGGGUUGAGGGAUAAAAUCCAAGAUACACGGAACUACUGUGAGUUCCAUCAUGAGAAAGAUCACGAGAUCCAGAAUUGUAUUGAGUUCAGGGCCCUAGUACAGGGUCUAAUGGAUAAUAAGGAAUUAGAGUUCCUCGAGUCUGUCGAGAUGAGGAUGUAUGCUCUCUAGGAGGAGAGUCGAGUGAAGAAGGCUGCAGAGCCAGCCGUCCAGUGAUAAUUAUUUUGAGGCCCAGAGUUAGUGAAGUAGAAGCAAGAGUUACACCAAGAGUUAUAAUCCAGAAGCCAACAGUUUCCCCUUAUAAAGAUAGUCAUAGAGUGCCUUGGAAUUAUAAUUGUAGUAUAGCAGUUGCAGAGAAGGAGGGUUCGAUUAACACGCCAAACACAGAAGUCGAACCAGCAAAAGGGAAACCCGUCAUGCUCAAGCAAGAAGUAGAGAGAUCAGAACCACUGGUUAAUGAGCCAGUAAUAGAAAAUGAAGCCAAAGAGUUCUUGAAGUUCCUAAGACACAUCGAGUAUAGUGUUGUGGAACAACUACACCAACAACUGGAUCGCAUAUCGAUAUUGGCUCUGCUGUUAAAUUCGAAGGUCCACCGCAACGUAUUGAUGAAAGUGUUGAACGAAACUUAUAUUGCGGAUGACAUUUCGAUUAACAAACUGGAUCCUCUUGUCGGCAACAUAAGUGUUGAAAAUUUCAUCUCCUUUAGCGAUGAUAAGAUACCAUCAAGGGGUAGGGGGUCUACUAAGGCUCUGCAUAUCACUACACGUUGUAAGGGGUAUACGCUACCCGGAGUACUAGUUGAUAAUGGGUCCGCAUUGAAUGUAUUGCCUUGGGCUACGUUAAACCGUUUACCUAUAGACAAUUCCCAUAUGAAGACGUGUCAGAACAUAGUAAGAGCAUUUGAUGGCACAGAAAGAAAAGUAAUGGGAAUGAUAGAGGUACCUCUUCAGAUUGGCCCAAACGCGUACGAGGUAGAUUUCCUCGUGAUGGAUAUUAAGCCUUCCUAUAACUGUCUAUUAGGAAGACUUUGGAUUCACUCAGCUGGGGCAGUGCCAUCCUUGCUGCAUCAGAAGUUAAAGAUGGUUACUGAGGGUCGGCUAAUAACAAUAAAUGCGGAGGAGGACAUUAUUGUGUCAGUUACCAGUGAUGCACCCUACGUAGAGAAUGACAACGAAGCGAUUGAAUGUUCAUUUCGAUCGUUAGAGUCUGUAAUUGUAAUGUUUAUAGCUGAAGGAAGUAGGAUUCCGAUACCUAAGAUGUCAGGGGCUACGAAAAUGAGCCUGCAGCUGACAGUUGGGAAAUGGGCGUUACCUGGCAAAGGACUCGGGAGGCACCUCCGUGGACAAGUUAGAGUGCCAGUCUUGGUUGGAUAGUGGGAUCGCUUCAGUUUGGGAUUUAGGCUAGAUGCAAGCCAAGUGAAGAAGGAGUUUGAAAGGAAACAGGAACAGCGGAGAGCAAGAUUGAGUGGGACAGAAGUCAGGUAGGAACCGAUGAGCUUCCCCCAUAUUUUCCAAACAUUUGUAUCUGGAGGGUUUAUUCAUUCUGCACCGGAGAGGAUAAAAGAAGGAAUGGUCGAGGAUGUGAUAGGAAUUUGGAACAUCAACGCCACGUUUGAAGAGGAAGCAAUGGAAAGAAAUUUAUCGGGCAUUUGCCCGUACGAGCCUGGGAGUGUUUUGAAUAACUGGACUGUGGAAGAAAUUCCUGUAAUCUUUAGAGCUAACAUAGGGUAAUAUUCAAAACCCACUUGUUGUCUUCUAGCCUAGGGACAAUAAGAAUCUUUUGUGAAAUAGGCUCAUGUCCAAACAUUAUUAUUUUCAAUAAAAAAUGCAUUUUCAUAUAUCAGUUUGAGCAAUUAUUUUUUCUUCCUUUUCAUUUCAUACACAAUCAUAACAUAUAAAGGAAUUAUUCAUUUCAUUUUCUUUGGGUAUUCUCUUAUACUCAUAAUAGGCCCCCGGAUGUCAACGUCAUGAGUAAUGCUGAUACGAGCCCGGAAUUCCCUUUUGAGCGAGACAUGUGUUUUGAGGGACUUCAAGAUUUUGAAGAGGAUGAGGAUUGUGGUUUAUCUCCCGAUUUGUUAAGGAUGGUGGAGCGAGAAGAGGAGCAGAUCCUGCCACACAAAGAGACUACUGAGAUUGUGGCCCUGGAAAAGGGGAGGGAAGUUAAAAUUGGCACUUUCGUUAACGAGAAAACAAGACAGAACCUUAUUGAGCUAUUGCAAGAAUUCAAGGACGUCUUUGCAUGGUCAUAUUAGGAUAUACCUGGUUUAAGUACCGAUAUCGCAGUACACCGUGUCCUUACAAAAAAGGAGUGCAAGCCAGUUCAGCAGAAGCUCCGAAGGAUGAGACCCGAGGUAGCAAUAAAAAUAAAGGAAGAAGUCAAGAAGCAGUUUAAUGCUGGAUUCCUACAGGUGGUCAAUUAUUCAGAAUGGGUGGCCAACGUCAUCCCUGUCCCUAAGAAAGAUGGGAAAGUACGGAUGUGUGUAGAUUACAGAGAUUUAAAUAAGGCCAGCCCAAAGGAUAACUUUCCAUUGCCUCAUAUAGACACUCUAGUGGAUAAUACGACAGGCUAUUCACUGUUCUCCUUUAUGGAUGGGUUCUCCGAGUACAAUCAGAUUAAGAUGCAUUCUAAGGAUAUGGAAAAAACUACAUUCAUAACUUUAUGGGGAACGUUUUGCUACAAAGUGAUGCCCUUCGGGUUGAAAAAUGCAGGAGCCACAUACCAAAGAGCCAUGGUAACCUUGUUCCAUGACAUGAUGCACAAGGAAAUUGAGGUCUACGUUGACGACAUGAUUGCAAAAUCUCGAACUGAAGAGGAGCAUGUGCGAGUGUUGAGAAAAUUGUUCUUGAAGUUGAGGAAAUUCCAAUUAAAGCUCAAUCCGUCAAAAUGCACCUUCGGAGCUAGGUCCGAAAAGUUACUCAGCUUCGUAGUCAGUGAGAAGGGAAUAGAAGUCGACCCUGAUAAAGUCAAGGCUAUUCAGGAGCUGCCACUGCCACAAACUCAGAAAGAAGUCCGAGGUUUCCUAGGGAGACUAAACUAUAUCGUACGGUUUAUUUCGCAGCUGACUGAGAAGUGUGACCCCAUAUUUCGUCUUCUUAAAAAGCAUAAUCCUGGGGUAUGGGAUGAUGAAUGCCAAAAAACCUUUGAAAAGGUUAAACAAUAUUUGUCCUGUCCCCCAGUGUUAGCACCGCCAAGCCCUGGUAGACCAUUGAUACUGUACUUAACAGUAUUUGAUAAUUCGAUGGGGUAUGUGCUCGGCCAACACGAUGAGACUGGGAGAAAAGAAAGAGCGACAUAUUACCUCAGUAAAAAAUUCACUGAGUGUGAAAUGAGGUAUCCGCCAAUUGAGAAGCUAUGCUGUGCUUUGGUUUGGACAACACGAAGGUUGAGGCAAUACAUGUUGUACCGUACAACUUGGCUAAUCUCAAAGCUAGACCCUCUCAAAUACAUGAUGGAAUCAACCGCUUUAAAUGGAGGGAUGGCCCGAUGGCAGAUUCUGCUCUCCGAAUUUGAUAUAGUCUAUGUAAACCAAAAAGCUGUGAAGGAGAGUGCAAUAGCAGACUUCCUAGCCAGUAGAGCUCUGGAGGACUAUGAACCUUUGAAUUUUAGUUUCCCCAAUGAAGAUCUAAUGUAUGUAGCAAUCGCUGAAGGAGACAUGUCUGAAGAUCAUUCUUGGAAAUUAAAUUUUGACGGAGCAUCAAAUGCCGUUGGAAAUGCAGUUGGGAAAGUACUAAUAUCCCAAAAUGGAGACCAUUAUCUAUUCACUUGCAAGCUGGAUUUUGACUGCACAAACAACAUGGCAGAAUACGAGGCAUGUAUCAUGGGAAUUCGGGCAGCUAUAGGCCGCGAAAUCAAAGUAUGAGAAGUGUGUGAAGAUUCUGUAUUGGUAAUUUAUCAGCUUAAAGGCGAGUGGGAAACAAGAGAUCCCAAAUUGAUCAGUUACCGAAAGUUAAUCUUGGAGUUAAUUGAAGAGUUUGAUAAUAUUACCUUUCAUUACCUCUCGCGAGACGAGAAUUAGAUGGCUGACGCCUUGGCUACAUUGGCUUCCAUGAUCAAAGUAAAUGAACAGGAAGAUAUGAAGCCAAUUCAAAUGAGUAUCUGUGAGGCUCCGGCUCACUGCUGUAAUGUUGAUGAAGAGGAAGAGAGAGAUGAUCAUCCUUGGUAUCAUGAUAUCUUACAAUAUGUGAAGAGCCGUGCGUACCCAGAUCAAGCAACCGAAAAUGAUAAAAGAACAUUGAGGAAGUUACCCAGUGACUAUGUCCUGGACGGUGAGGUCCUAUAUAAAAAAGAAAGGAUUAGGUGUUGCUAAGAUGUGUUGACGCUGUUGAGGCAAAGAAAAUUCUAGAGGAAGUCCAUGAUGGCAUUUGUGGGACACAUGCUAAUGGUUUUACAAUGGCUCGACAAAUCAUGAGAUUCGGAUAUUACUGGUCCACAAUGGAAGGAGAUUGCAUCAAUUACGCUAAGAAGUGCCUUAAGUGUCAAAUUUAUGGAGACAAGAUCUAUGUGCCUCCUUCACCCCACCAUGUUAUGACUACCCCAUGGCCAUUCUCAAUGUGGGGUAUGGACGUCAUUGGGCCAAUUUCGCCAAAGGCUUCCAACGGACAUCGAUUCAUUUUUGUGGUCAUUGACUACUUUACCAAAUGGGUGGAGGCUACUUCGUACGCCAAUUUCACAAAGUUGGCGGUCAGCAAGUUCCUGAAGAAGGAGAUCGUAUGUCGUUAUGGUAUGCCAGAAAGAAUCGUAUCUGACAAUGCAUUGAAUCUGAACAAUAGCGCAAUAGUAGAAGUCUGCAGUCGGUUCAACAUUAAACAUCACAACUCGUCGCCAUACCGCCCAAAAAUGAAUGGGGCGGUUGAGGCAGCUAAUAAGAAUAUCAAGAAGAUUGUAGGGAAAAUGGCGGAGACCUACAAAGAUUGGCAUGAAAAGCUCCCAUUUGCCCUUUAUGCUUAUCGGACAUCUGUCAGAACUUCUACUGGGGCAACACCUUUCUCAUUGGUUUAUGGGAUGGAGGCAGUUUUACCUAUUGAGGUCGUAAUCCCUUCUCUCCGAGUUUUAUCAGAGUUGAAGUUAGACGAAGCAGAAUGGAUCCAAUCUCGUUACGAUCAACUAACUUGGUUGAAGAGAGGAGGUUGAAAGCUAUUCAUCAUGGUCAAAUGUACCAGAGGAGAAUGAUGCGAGCCUACAACAAAAAAGUUCGCCCUAGGGUGUUCCAUGAAGGGGACUUAGUAUUGAAAAAGAUUCUCCCUAUGCAAAAAGAUUUCAGGGGGAAAUGGAUGCCAAAUUGGGAAGGACCUUAUGUGGUAAAAAAGGCUUUCUCUGGAGGGGCAUUGAUACUAGUAGAGAUGGAUGGCAAGAGCUUGCCUAACCCGAUAAAUUCAGAUUCUGUCAAAAGAUAUUUUGCUUGAAGCAGUUGAGGUGAAAACCCGUAAAGGGCGCCAAAAAAAAAGGGAGAGGCCAGGGUGAAAACCCGUAAAAGGGCGCAUUGAGACCAAAGGGACUUUGAAUUGAAAACCCACAAAGGGCAAUUCAAAAAUUGAUCCAGACUGGGGCAAGUAGCAGUCUCGUUACACUAGAAUCGACAAAGAAGGGAUGGGCUACAUCUUGGGGCAUCGACAAAAUGCUAUAGAUCCCUUGAGCACAUGUCAAGUGUAGAAUGGUCUUCGACUAGUUCGUUAGAGAAGCUCAAACUGCGGAAUCUGGGGCACCUAUUUGUUCUUUUUAUCCAUUUUUGUAUUUCAAAUAAUCAAUGCUUUCUUUCUUUAGUACAUCUUUCGUGAACUAGGACUCGAAUAAAUUUCAGUUCCAUUUACCCUUAUGAUCUUUUUCAAGCGUUUUAUAUUGAAAUAAUGAUUAAUGAACUAACAAUGUUCUCAAAACAGGUUUUACGUAUUACUCUGAAAGAUUUCUAAACAAUACAAGAUCCUGAAACAGGGCAAUUAUUUAAAACUCACCAGGCUUAAAGAGCUAGAAACGUGUGGAGGAAAAGGGACUUACAAUAUCCUCAAGCUGGAUGAGAAGGCAUACGUCGGGGAUGUUACUAUAGCAAACAGCGAGCGAUGAUAGCCUAAAAAUUAAAAUGAUCAUUCUCAUGACAUUUUGCAUUUAUGCAUUUAAAUAUCCAUAAUACAUCUAGUUAGGAGCAUUUGAUUAAUCAUGACAUCCUAAACAUCUAGCAUAAGCAUAAAAUCACUUUUCUACAGAUAGGAUCCCCCAGUGGACAAUGUAGCAGGAUUGAUUAAAAAGACAGAUAUCAUCAGCCUUAUCUUCACUUAGCAGGAGUGAAGCGGGCUAAACAUACCCGAUCUUAUCUUCACUGAGCAGGAGUGAAGCAGAUCAAAUUUUGGCGAGUCUUAUCUUCACUGUGUAGGAGUGGAGCAGAUUUCAGCCACCAGUCUUAUCUUCACUGAGCAGGAGUGGAGCAGAUUUCAGCCACCAACCUUAUCUUCACUGAGUAGGAGUGGAGCAGGCUAAACAUACCCGAUCCUUUCUUCACUGAGCAGGACUGAAGCAAAUCAAAUUUUGGCGAGUCUUAUCUCCAUGUAUCGGCAAUGGAGCAGAUUCUAAUCAUCAGCCUUAUCUUCACUGAGUAGGAGUGAAGCAGGCUAAGUAUAGCAGAUCUUAUCUUCGCUGAGCAGGAGCGGAGCAGAUCGAAUUUUGAUGAAUCUUAUGUCCCUGUACUAGCGAUGGAGCAGAUUCCAAUCAUCAGACUUAUCUUCAAUGAGCAGGAGUGAAGCAGGCUAAAUAUAUCAGAUCUUAUCUCCACUGAACAAGAGUGGAGCAGGUCAGAUACAAUGGAUCUUAUCUUCGCCGAGCAGGAGUGGAGCAGAUCAAAUUUUAGCAAAUCUCAUUUACAUGAAGCAGCAAAUGAGCAUUUUUGAAGCAAUAAAAUGCGGUGGGCUGUGGCAAAAAAGACAAGACUCAGCCAGCCCAAGUAAAUUUGGUCCUCCUAAAAUCUUUGCUCUAUUCUCAUUACACGACAAUGAGCAAAGAGGGGCAGCUGUAGGACCAAAUUUUUAAACAAACCCAAACCUAGGCCUAAACAAAUUAACCAUUAAAACAAAACCUAGCCCAAUACAAACACAAACCCACUAAACAAGCCCAAAACCAAUAAAGCAAAAAUGAGAAAUCCUAGCCUGAGGAGUAGCAGCCGCAAGCAGUUCCCAGCAGCCGGAUCUUGUGCACCAUGUCGAAACUCACGUCCAACACGCCUCGUGCCCCCAACUCCCUCGCACCCACGGCUCCCACG